GAUCCUGGCUCAGGAUGAACGCUAUCGACAGGCUUAACACAUGCAAGUCGAGGGGCAGCGAGGGAGUGGCAACACUUCUGUCGGCGACCGGCGCACGGGUGAGUAACGCGUAUGCAACCUGCCCUUCACAGGGGGAUAACCGGGAGAAAUUCCGACUAAUACCGCAUACGUCCUCCGGGGCAUCCCAGGGGGAUGAAAGAAUUAUCGGUGAAGGAUGGGCAUGCGUGAUAUUAGGUAGUUGGCGGGG
rnacentral:rRNA from 1 species